AUUGAACGCUGGCGGCAGGCCUAACACAUGCAAGUCGAACGAGUGGCGGACGGGUGAGUAAUGUCUGGGAAACUGCCCGAUGGAGGGGGAUAACUACUGGAAACGGUAGCUAAUACCGCAUACCAUCGGAUGUGCCCAGAUGGGAUUAGCUAGUAGGUGGGGUAACGGCUCACCUAGGCGACGAUCCCUAGCUGGUCUGAGAGGUUGACCAGCCACAACGGAAAUUGAGCACGGUCCAGACCCCUACGGGGAGCAGCAAGAGGGAAUAUUGGACCAAGGGCGCAAGCCUGAUACAUCCAUGCCGCGUGUAUGAAGAAGGCCUUCGGGUUGUAAAGUACUUUCAGCGAGGAGGCGUUACUCGCAGAAGAAGCACCGGCUAACUCCGUGCCAGCAGCCGCGGUAAUUC
rnacentral:rRNA from 1 species